AGGUCGAAAUUUUGCAAAUACCUGAGAAUAUGCUAAAAUUGGUCAUUUGAAGAACCUAGACUCACUGCAAUAUAUCUCCAUAUAUACAUAUAACCCUAAAUCAACCAGCAGAAACUGAAUCAAAGCUAGAAAUAAAGACAUAAUUAAAUGUUUUGCAUCUC